rnacentral:rRNA from 1 species
GAUGAACGCUAGCGGCAGGCCUAAUACAUGCGAGUCGAACGGUGUCUUCGGAGAUAGUGGCGCACGGGUGCGUAACACGUAUGCAACCUACCUUACAUUGGGGGAUAGCCUUUCGAAAGGGAGAUUAAUACCGCAUAAGACAGUAGCUGGGCAUCCAGCAGCUGUUAAAGAUUUAUCGAUGUAAGCUGGGCAUGCGUCCAAUUAGCUAGUUGGUGAGGUAACGGCUCACCAAGGCAAUGAUUGGUAGGGGAACUGAGAGGUCAAUCCCCCACACUGGCACUGAGAUACGGGCCAGACUCCUACGGGAGGCAGCAGUAGGGAAUAUUGGGCAAUGGACGCAAGUCUGACCCAGCCAUGCCGCGUGCAGGAUGAAGGCGUUAUGCGUUGUAAACUGCUUUUAUACAGGAAGAAACGACUCUUGCGAGAGGCAUUGACGGUACUGUAUGAAUAAGCACCGGCUAACUCCGUGCCAGCCGCCGCGGUAAUAC